GAUUCUCUAUGAAUUUCAGGUGACCGACUACUUGUUUUUCUCUUUUGUCCAGAGGUAAUCAGAUACCCAGAGGCUACAGCGCGAUGUCUUCCCUUCUCAAUGGCAUUUCUGGUGUCCACCUCAGGAGUCUCCUUGGCCAGCCUUGAAACACUUGGAAAUUAAACAGAGAAGCCACUGCAUAUAUCCUGGAAAAUCUCCAUCCUGUGUGUUCAGAACUCUCUGAAUAAGCAUAAGGAUUUGAAGAGGAGCAGGUGGAAUAAGAAUGGAAUUGGGUCCUCAAGCGCUAACAGAGUGGGAAGCAAGCCAAGAGGACAGCAGUAGGUGUACAGAGGCCAUGGAAUACCCACCAACCAGAUAAUCAUCGCUGGAAUAACUGGAAGUGUCUGAAUGUAGGUAUGUGUACCGAAGACUUCUCUGUGCUCUUUCAGUAAGUAACUGUUAUCUAGCUCUCCCAUCAAUGUUAUUCAUACACCUGCAGGCUCAUCAGCCUUUUGAAAGCACUGCUUGGUGGGACUUGGAUGCACAUGCAAGCAUGCACAUAGCCACUCAGAAGCACAGGAGGGCCUCCCUCCUCCCUGGGCGCCUGGAACAUUCUCCAAAAUGACCUAAACCUGUCUUCCAAUUCUCUCAUCCCAGUAUUCCCAUAUAGCAUUCCCACACCUUCUUCCCACGGACACUGAGCCUUGUUUCCUGAGCACAGAAAGCUGUUGUCUUGCCUUCCUAACAGAAAUAACUUUCCCAUAUCCUCUUUGCUGGCUUAAGUUCUCUUUCUCCUUCAAGACCUAAAUCAGUUUUCACCUAUAUUACAACAUCUUGCUGAUUCCCCCUCCCAAUUAUUUCCUUCUUUCCAUAUGUCUGUAGAGCUUGUAUUCAUACCUCCCCUCUGGCAUUUGACAACUUGUAUCAUGAAUUGCUGUUUCUCUCUUUAUGCAUCUGCCCUGUGUCCUCAGUGUAGCUGUUUGUUUUUUAAGAGACAGGAUCUAUUGUAUUUUUGCAGACCAGAGACCAAGACCAAGGAAAAUGGGCUGGUAAAGAGCUGCUGUGAUGUAGGGACGCAACAAAGAGGGGUGGUUAAGAAUAGAGUCUGGGGAGUUCUGGGCAUGGCCCAUGGGUAAGGAACCAGACUGUAUCCAUGAGGAUACAGGUGGAUCCCUGACCUCACUCAGUGGGUUAAGGAUGCAGCGUCACCUUGAGCUGUGGUGUAGGUUGUAGAUGCUGCUUGGAUCCCGAGUUGCUCUGGUUGUGGCUUAGGCCAACAGCUGUAGCUCCAACUGGACCCCUAGCCUCAGAACUUCCAUAUGCCACUGGUGCGGCCCUAAAAAGCAAAACAACAACAACAACACCCAAAAAAAACAAAAACAGAAAAACAGAAUAGACUCUGGAGCAAGAAUGCCUGAGUUCAAGUUCUUGCUCAGCCAAUUAUUAGGCUGUGUGACUUGGGCAAGUUUUUUUUUUAAAGAAAAACUUUAAAAAAAAACUUUCUAUGCCUCAGUGUUUUCUUCUGCAAAAUAGUAAUAAUAGAAGUACACCCAUCUCCUUAAGCUGUAAAGUUUCAAUGAACUAAUAAAUAAAAAGAACUUAAAUAGUGUCUAAUAUAUAUCAAACACUGAAAAAUCAUUACUUAUUUAUUACUGCAUAUAUAAUAGUUCAUUUAAUUUUCCCAAUAAUACUAGAAGAUAGAUGGCAUCAUCACCAUUCUGAAAACCAGAACCCUGUGACCCUGAGCAAUUAGGUUACUAACCAAAAUCACAAGAAGAUACAGAAUGAGAAGCAAGUACCUGAUCCUAAACCCUAGGCAGUUUCACUCUCGGAACCACCUCACACAGGCACCAGGGGACUAAUUUGUAUUGAUAAUCAUGGAAUUAAUUCUUUUCUAUUCUUAUACUUUAAACCAAAUUCAACUCAACAAGUAUUUCUGGUUCCAGGCACUGAAGGAGAAAGAUGGAGAAAAAUACAAAAUGGCUAUUCUUACCCUAGGAUAUUUCAUAAUCUAUGUGAUUCAGAUACUAGCAACAAAGCAGAAACAUCUAACACAUUUUUUUCUUCCCAUUUCUGGAUUCAUUUAGAGAUUGGCUCUUGCCUGGCCCCUACUUCACCCCAUGUAAUAAUUGUAGGUUGGAUACAGUGUCAUUGUCUACAAAAAUAACUCUUUGUCUACAAAAAUAACACCCAUUUAAGAGUAAACUAUAAAAUUGAUAAGUUUUAAAAUUAUUUUACUCUACUUGAAACUAUUUUGGACAAUUGACAAAGAGCUCUGUUAAACUUGGCAGAUCAGCCCCUCUUGGAACCUCCUUAAUUUCUAGGAAAUCAUCAGUAGGUCUUGUUCCCCUCUGCCAAAACUCCUUGGCUGCUGCCACUUCACUUGUGCUAAGGUACAUAGCACUGUGCUGGGAUCUAGUAGAUGAUUGGUAAAAUCCUGAAUUUUGCCACACUUACUCAUCCUUAAAUAUGCGCUGCUCUCCGGGCCCACCUCUGAAUUUCAGGCUAACAUCAGGGAUCCUCUGUAGACCCAGAGGAAUUACCUGAGGUAAAGUAUCCCCAAGAGGGAGAAUUGGAAGGACUGACAUUUGGAACACCAGGUUUUUUACUUUACACGUAUCAUUUCAUGUAAUUCUCAAAGUAACCCCAUGAAGUAGGUAUAGUUAUCCACCCUUUACUGAUAAGGAAACUAAAAUUCAGAGAGGUUAAUUAACAUAUUUGAAAAACCACAGAGCUGGUGAGAAAGAAUUUCCAACCCAGUCUAAUGACCCAAGGAGAUGAGGAAAAAGCAACGGGCUGACCUGAGGGCUCAGUUCAGAGUUGUGAAGCAGGGACUACAUUUUGACACUAACUGCCGGUGACUCAGGCACAUCAUAGAACCUCUUCUUGUCUCGGUUUCUUCAUCUCACAUGACAUUGUUAUGAGGAUCAAAAUAUUUUAUUUGUAAGAUGGGCUGUGAAAUCAUCAUUGACAUUAUAAACAUAUAUUAUAGUUAUGAGUCUGAUAAGUGUAAACAUUGAAAGAGGGAAGAAAUCCCCAAAUGGUUUGAAAUUCCUAGGAGGCGACGGGAGGAAGGUGGCAGCAUUGAAAGGAAGCAAAGACACCAAGAAACGCCAUGCCUAUACAGGGGCUCUGGGAGCAGAUCUGGAAAAGAUGGCUCUAGUACCAAUACUGACCCGGUACUGUUCAGUUAACAGUUACCAAGUGGCAGUUACCCUUAUAAUAUGUUAUAUCAUGUCCUUAAAUGUAGGUAUAAUGGCCAUAAUCACCAAACCAAGGAUUAGACAUAGGGCAAAACAUUGGAAAUCAGGACUGUUGCAUAUGGAACCAUAGGCCUUGUAUAAGGAACCGUUGUAUGGCAAGCUUCUUAGUUGGAGGAUUAAGAGUAAUAUUGUCCUUAAAUACACAGUUCCCACUAUGGCACAGUGGGUUAAGAACCUGGCUAGUAUCCAUGAGGACACAGGUUCAAUCCCUGGCCUCACUCAGUGGGUUAAGGAUCUGGCAUUGCCGUGAACUUGGUGUAGGUGGUAAAUAUGGCUCAGAUAUGGCAUUGCUGUGCUAUGGGGUAGGCCAGCAGCUGUAGCUCAGAUUCGACCCCUAGCCUGGGAACAUCCAUAUGCUGCAGGUGCGGCCCUAAAAAGAAAAGAAAAAAAAAA
rnacentral:lncRNA from 1 species